CUUUCGUGUCGGGGGUUGGGGUGUUCACACUUAAACAUAAAUCAACUGGCAAAUUCAGCCCAACUCACGUGCUGGCCCUGUCCACACAGACGUCGACUCCAGCAAAAAUGUCCUGACUGACUUCAGGAGAGAGGAAUUAUUGCUACGUGCCUCUUUCCCAGUGAAGAAAAUCUCUGUUGGCUGCGAGCAGAGAAGCGGCGGAAGGAUUCCCGACUCCGGGAAGCCAGGUGUCGGAAGGAGGAAGUACGCUUGAAGGGGGUCCGGCUGGCCGACUCUGCACUCGUCCGUUCGUGGCCCACCGUGGUGGUCACCAAAUUGAGGGCUUCCUGGAAGGACCUCCUCACGGUGCCCAUCCACUGGGUCAUGUGGGUCUGGGCCACUGUGAGUUUAUCUCCCAGGUAAUCCAUGGGGCCAGCCAGGAGGAGAGGGAAGAAGGAAGUUAGGGAGGGAGAGAGCAAUUAAAACGCCAGUGUCCUCUUGCCUCUUUGGACUCUUUUGCUCAUGGAAGUUUUGGGCUUGCUUGGAGGAAAAAAAAUUAAAAACAGCAGCUUUCUUCAGGCAAACCAAGGGUAAGUAAACAUCCCUGAGCCAGGAGCCGGCUGCAUCCACGGGUGCCGCUCAGAAUUAAGAGGCAGCUAAGUGCCAGGCUGGGAGUCCACCCCAGCGGAGUUAUAAAGUCAACACACUGGGCAGUCCAGGUUCCAGUUCCAGGGCUCACCCAGCUGAUCGGCCGAGACAAGGAGCUUUGAGGAACAAGCCGGCUGCACUCACUCCAGGGCGUGACGGUCCCGAAAGGCGGGGGAUGGGGAUGGGGGUGGGGGUGGAGGGGGCGGCCUUUGGGCACCCUCGUCCUCACUUCCCUUCAGGUAGGCAGCCCCCCUGAGGUGCACCCUGGGAGGUUCCGGUGGGCAAGCUGCCGCACCCUGCUGCCCCCUGCCCGGCUGCCCUCGGCCAGACCCCGCUCACCUGACCCAUGCAGGUUUUCUGUCCUCUGGCUGGAGAUUCCAAACCUGUCGGCCGGCAGGCGGCUAGCUCACUUCCGGAGGCAGCCACCAGGGCCCCCGGGUCCCCUGGCUGAGCAGCCCGGGAUGACAUCAGCCCCCGUCUUAGCGAGGGGCUUCGCUGCCCAGGAAUGCAGGAGGGGCCUCGGGGAGGCGGAGGCGGUGGCGGCGGCCGCCCAGGGAGCUGACGUCCGCCCCCAUUUUUUUCUCCCCCAAGUCCCAACUCGCUCACGGUCCCUCGGGGCUGAUGGCAACUUCACGUGCCUGCCAGCCUACCCACCCCUGUGCCCUCACAGCAAGCGCACCAGGAAAUGCGGCUGCACGUGUGUGCAUGUGUGUGCACUCUGUGUGUGUGUGCGUGUAUGUCGGCGAUCUGGCAGCCCCGGGAAGGUUAGCACUGCUGGGAAACGGCUUCUGCCUCUAAGGUUACAGGCAGCGUCUUGGGACCUCUGGUCGGCUGUCAGUCUGUCUCCCUCUCGUGGUCUGUUUCUCUGUUGAUUUCUCAGCCUCGCUCUCCUCCCUCUCCCUGUGUCUCAACUUCCACUUGCUUGUCUCUAAGCGUCUCUCCUCUCUCUCUCCUUUUCAGCUGUCUCUCCCUCCCUCUCUGGAAGGCAACACUGAUCCAGGUGGAGCAACACCGUCAGUCAGAAGGCAGCGGAUGGCACAGGGCUUCCGCGUAAGGCCUGCAUCGCCUGAGUCAUGGUUUUCUCAUCUUGUAUGAGGCCCACCCCCUUCAAAAGGUUGUGACAAAAAAAACAACUGAGAUAAUUUGUGCCGCUGGCACAUAGUUAACACUCAAUAAGGCCGGGCGCAGUGGCUUACACCUCUAAUCCCAGCACUUUGGGAGGCUGAGGCAGGUGGAUCACUUGAGGCCAGGAGUUCGAUACCAGCCUGACCAACAUGGUGAAACCCCAUCUCAACUAAAAAUACAAAAAUUAGCCAGGCAUGGUGGUGUGCACCUGUAGUCCCAGCUACUUGGGAGCCUGAGGCAGGAGCAUCUCUUGAACCCGGGAGGUGGAGGUUGCAGUGAGCGGAGAUGGCACCACUGCACUCCAGCCUGGGCGACAGAACAAGACUCUGUCUCAAAACAACAACAACAACAAAAUAAUAAAUGGUGACCACAAGGGAUGAUCGUUUUUCUAUUAUAAUUCCUAUCAUCUCACUGUUCAAAUGAAUCACAGGACCCUAGACAGUCAGAAUCAAGACACCAGCAGGGACCAACCUAGGCCAACCUUCCCACUAAACUGAAGAAACAGGCCCAGACCGAGGGCUGCCCUAAGGCCUCACAGUCCAUCUGCAGCAGG
rnacentral:lncRNA from 10 species